rnacentral:rRNA from 1 species
GAUGAACGCUGGCGGCGUGCCUAAUACAUGCAAGUCGAGCGAACGGACGAGAAGCUUGCUUUUCUGAUGUUAGCGGCGGACGGGUGAGUAACACGUGGAUAACCUACCUAUAAGACUGGGAUAACUUCGGGAAACCGGAGCUAAUACCGGAUAAUAUUUUGAACCGCAUGGUUCAAAAGUGAAAGACGGUCCUGCUGUCACUUAUAGAUGGAUCCGCGCUGCAUUAGCUAGUUGGUAAGGUAACGGCUUACCAAGGCAACGAUGCAUAGCCGACCUGAGAGGGUGAUCGGCCACACUGGAACUGAGACACGGUCCAGACUCCUACGGGAGGCAGCAGUAGGGAAUCUUCCGCAAUGGGCGAAAGCCUGACGGAGCAACGCCGCGUGAGAGAUGAAGGUCUUCGGAUCGUAAAACUCUGUUAUUAGGGAAGAACAUAUGUGUAAGUAACUGUGCACAUCUUGACGGUACCUAAUCAGAAAGCCACGGCUAACUACGUG